rnacentral:rRNA from 1 species
UACAGAGGGUGCAAGCGUUGUUCGGAAUUAUUGGGCGUAAAGGGCGCGUAGGCGGUGCGGUAAGUCUGCAGUGAAAUCUCUGGGCUCAACUCAGAGUCUGCUGUGGAAACUGCCGUGCUUGAGUGUGGGAGAGGUGAGUGGAAUUCCCGGUGUAGCGGUGAAAUGCGUAGAUAUCGUAAGGAAGACCAGUGGCGAAGGCGGGUCUCUGGACAGUUCCUGACACUGAGACACGAAGGCCAGGGGAGCAAACGGG